GACGAACGCUGGCGGCGUGCUUAACACAUGCAAGUCGAACGCAGUAGCGAACGGGUGAGUAACGCGUAAUCAACCUGCCCUUCAGCGGGGGACAACAGUUGGAAACGACUGCUAAUACCGCAUACUGAGGGAGGGGAUUGCGUCUGAUUAGCUGGUUGGAGGGGUAACGGCCCACAAAGGCGAGGAUCAGUAGGCUGUCUGGGAGGAUGAACGGCCACCUUGGGACUUAGACACGGCCCAGACUCCUACGGGAGGCAGCAGGUGGGAAUCUUCCGCCAUGGACGAAAGUCUGACGGAGCAACGCCGCGUGAGUGAUGACGGCCUUCGGGUUGUAAAGCUCUGUUAAUCGGGACGCGGUACCGGAAUAGAAAGCCACGGCUAACUACGUGCCAGCAGCCGCGGUAAUUC
rnacentral:rRNA from 1 species